CCUAACACAUGCAAGUCGAACGGUAGAGUAGCAAUACUUGAGAGUGGCGAACGGGUGAGUAAUAUAUCGGAACGUGCCCAGUCGUGGGGGAUAACGUAGAGAAAUUUACGCUAAUACCGCAUACGAUCUAAGGAUGAAAGCGGGGGACCGUAAGGCCUCGCGCGAUUGGAGCGGCUGAUAUCAGAUUAGGUUGUUGGUGAGGUAAAAGCUCACCAAGCCGACGAUCUGUAGCUGGUUUGAGAGAACGACCAGCCACACUGGGACUGAGACACGGCCCAGACUCCUACGGGAGGCAGCAGUGGGGAAUUUUGGACAAUGGGCGAAAGCCUGAUCCAGCAAUGCCGCGUGCAGGAAGAAGGCCUUCGGGUUGUAAACUGCUUUUGUACGGAACGAAACGGUCUGCUUUAAUACAGUGGGCUAAUGACGGUACCGUAAGAAUAAGCACCGGCUAACUACGUGCCAGCAGCCGCGGUAAUACGUGGGGUGCGAGCGUUAAUCGGAAUUACUGGGCGUAAAGCGUGCGCAGGCGGUUAUAUAAGACAGUUGUGAAAUCCCCGGGCUCAACCUGGGAAUUGCAUCUGUGACUGUAUAGCUAG
rnacentral:rRNA from 1 species